AGCCCUGUCGUCUAGCGGCCAAUAAAGCAAAACUUUGGCUUGGGAUAGCGGCCUUUGGAGCCGUUGACGGCGGUUCGAAUCCGCCCAGGGCUA
rnacentral:tRNA from 1 species